CCGACCAGUUGGAUCGACUAGCGGAGAGCCCGGGGUCGCCAAAUCCAACCGGUGGCCUCAGCCUCGCUGUUGGUCGAUGCGGCGGCGGUC
rnacentral:pre_miRNA from 1 species